UAAGCUACAUGCUGCACCUUGACAUCAGUCAGACCCUCCUUAGCAGGGAGAAGAAAAGCAACUCUUGCCCUAAGGGAAGCUGCUGCCAGCAAUUGAAGGCAGCUGCCUGGGUAGUGCAAGCAUCUUACCAAAAGGUUUACAAAAACAUUUUUUAUUCAAAAUUUUCAUGUCUUUCAGGAGUUGCAUGAUAGGUGUCUUCUCCCCAUCUUUCCAGGUGGCUGAAUUACUCUGGACGACCACAUCUUCCAUGAGGUGCUUUGCUUCUAUCUCUGGAGAAUGUGCAAUGCUACCAUGAAGUUGCUCAUAGGAGUCUGUACUGGAGGAUGAGGUCUCUCUGUGGACAGCAGGGAUAAGAAAUUGUGAGUGCAUGAGUUAAGCAGAGCCCCAGGGAACGGGAACCUUCAGAGCAGCGUGUGGCUGGCAGGGUACAAAGCUGGCAGCCAGGGUAGGACAUGCACGUACUCACCACACAAUUGGCAUCGCUCAGCUGCUUCGCCACAUUCCUUCCCCUCCCCUCAACCCAGACUGUCUCUCCCCAGCUCCCGUCACUGCAGACAGGUUGGGAGUAAUGCCACUGCAGCACCAUGACCUAGGGAAGGUCCUGCCUCCAAAAGUAAUUGCUGCUCCUUCUCUCUCCCCAGUACUGACUUCUUUUUUAACCUGGAUCCAUUCCCUGAUCAGGCUGUCCCCUGGACAGGGACAGGAUGAGCCAUGGCGGGCGGCUGGGAGCAGGGAAGGGGUGUGCUGCCCAUGGCUAUGGGAAGCCAGGCAGCACAGGACCACCUGGUAGGUUUGCUACCAAAAGCACUGCCAGACUUAAUCAGGGAGAGGCAAUAGCUCUCCUCCAGUUGGCCCCAUGAGUCAUUGCUCUCUUGCCUGCAUCCUGAGGCCAUCUCGGUUAAAGCCGCCCUGCUCUGUCCGGCACGGCUACAGCAGCAGGAGCCUGUCCAAGCUAUCCAUGUGGGAGGGAGGUGGUGUCUUUCACCCCUGGCAUGAGCCCCUAAAAUCUCCUGGGAAAAUCAGCACCAAAAAUACUGACUGAUGCUCCCCAAGCAGCAGAGGCUCCCAGAGCUGGCACGGCCACUGUUGUGUACCCUGCACGUCCAUGGGUGCAGAAAAGCCUGCAGCACCAGAGGGACAGGCCCUCGUCAAUACACCUCGACAACAUGCUGCCCCUGUGUUGAACCAGGGAGUGUGUGCUGGCUAAAACAUGUCAGCACAGAGACCUUCCAGGCUAGCCAGGAAAGCCCCAGGGAGAUGCUGAGAUCGCGGGAUCUGUGCUGGAAAAAUAAAUGAGUGUAUCUUCCUGUGAUGAUUCGGUCUCCAGUGCCCUCCUACACGGCACUUCUCCCCUGCAGCUUCUGCCCAGGAUUUUAAUGCUAAGAGAUAUCUUGCGUUAUUGUCUCAACUCUUUCCCGACAUUGCUGGAAAGAGCAGGGAUGCGAACGAAGCCUGCAUUCUCUCUGUGAAGUCGGCAGCUUCAGCCGUGAUGACUUGGCUGCUGGUGAAAACAAACCUCCCUGGCUGGGGCUGGAGGGGACAUGGCCUCUGCUGCUUCAGAGGUUAUUAACAGCAGUUUCCAGCAGCUGUGGGACAGGUCCUUGGUUCAGAGCAGCUUCCCAAGGAGUGAUACAUGAAGGGUCCUGUCUGCCCACAUGCCUGGACAGCACCAGGUAUGAUGGGACCUCCUCCUCGUUACAGGCCUGGCUGUAGAGCACCUAAUCCAAUAUUAUUAAUGACAAUCAGAAUAGACAUGAUGUAAUUUAAACCACUAGGCUUCUGUAAAAGGAUUACUCUUAGGUGUUGAGCUGCCCGAGGAUAGGGGAAAAAGCAUUAUUUUGUAUAUAGAGGAAAUCUCUUGACACUUCAAAAUGCUAUGGGAAAGAGGAAAUAACUAUAAGAAAACAGAGCUGACCAGGUCUUCCUCUGGUGAUCUGGUGGAUGAGCAGAAGCACAUCAGCUUAGAGUGACAGAGAUGUAGCUGCAGGUGGUCUGGCCCAAGGCCUUUCAACAGCUACUGGUGUGGCCUGCUGAAACGCUGCAAGGAGCUGGAAAUCUCUGGCUCAAGCAGGAACAUGCUCAAAAAGCAAGCCUUGGAAACCACAUUGUUCCUUCCCUCUCCCGUUACACCUGCCAUCCAGCCCUUGCUGGAAGGGGAGGCAUGCAGAGACUCUGCAGGGAAACCUUACGCUGUGUGAGGAUGCCUUAACUGGCAACCAAACUUUUCCUUGGAAUGCAGAGUCCAGUUUGAUGAAGAACAGGAUGAAAAGGGCAAGUGCAUGCCCACCACAGAGCUGAGAGCGUGGUGAUUACAGUUCUGGUUUAUAAAUGCAAGAGCUCAAAAGCCUGGUCUGAUGGAGCCAGGCUUGAGACUUCAACCCUUGCCACCCACUUCCCAAUGUAUGGAUUGCUUUAACCCUCUGGGGUCAGGUUGCUUUGGUGUGGGAAAGGUUUGUUUCUCUUUUCCUUUUAAACACUUUUGAGACAGUGGGUGACAGCAUUCCCUUCCUGUCUCUGCAGGACAUUUGCAUUCACUGGGAUCACAUGCUGCAGAAUACUAAAGCUUUCACUCAACAAGACGUGCUCUGCACAAAUCCUCAUCUUUGUAUCAGAGAGAGCCCAAGACUAUUCCAUGCAGAUACAGGGAGAGUCAAAGCUGAAAACCUGUAAAUCUAAGCUACAUCUAGAGCUGGUUAGAAUAGUAAAUAUGAGCCUGGAAAGCUGGAGAAGAUGCCAUACUCAGCUCUUCUGGCAAAGAGUUGUAGUAACCUCCUUCAGGGAAAAAGGGAUGGAGUCCUUUGGUCUUGGCCUCCAGAGAAGGUAUAUUCUGCCAUGCACUUGUCUGAGCCAAAGCUGAGAUGGGAGACUCACAGCAGCCUUACUGAUAACCAUCUGUGUCAAUGGAGAGCUCUCUUUGACUAGGGAAUACUGAACAAAGCCUGUGAGGUGGCUGCCCUGACCAGACGUUCAUCUGUCCUCUAAUGGAUAGAUGGCUCUCUAUUUCUUCUGGGCCAUUUUCUUUAGUUCUAGGUGGGCAUCUUGCAUUUCUCUGGCUGCCAGCCAAGUGAUAGUAUCUGUGGUAGGAAAAUGUGGGCAGGCAGGAAGAGAUUGGCUCUGCUGCGAGGUGAAAGCAUGUGCGCCUGAUCCGCUGCGUGGUUUUCCUGUGUGGCACUCAGUGAGGACCAUAAUGAAGGGAUGUUCCUCUGGAGUCAAGUGCUGAGUCUGCAUCAAUAGCACAACCUAGCCUAGACCUUCAUGCUGUCACACAAAGACCUGGUCUAAGCCUGAAUCCUUCCAGGAGAGAACAGGGCAUGGUCCAUCCCUUGUCAGAUGUCCACAGAGGUCAUAUCACAGUGGUGAGGUGCAUUACACUACCAGCAGUAAUCCUGAACAGGGCUGGCUUCAGUCUCAGCUCUGGACCCACACUGUUUCCAGCAUGGUGGGUGGGAAGCACAUGGGUUGCAACCCACUGCCUGCCUCAUUCACCAAGGACGUGAACUCUGGGGAGCCGAUGGUAGGCAUGGAAAACCUGAAACAUCUCUGCCUUGAAGCAGGCUGUGUCAUCCAGCCUUGACUUUUUUCCUUCCCCACACACUGGCCAUGGGUCUUGUGGGUGGCAAAGCUGCGCAGCCCUACAGCACCGGAAGCCCUUGCAGCUGAGAUGCCUUUCAGUUGCUUCCAGCGAGUAACCCACGGAACCCCUCCAGGCUCAUGUCCCUUGCAACAGGGACCCAUCCCAAAUGGUUGUGCCAGUCCGAUGUGCCAGGUCUCUAUGGGUCUGUCCCUUGCGAUGGCUUCGCUGAUAUCUAACAGUGGUUCAGCUCACACUCCAUCUUCUCUGGUGGGGAGGGAGGGCUUCAUAGGAGCUCUUCUCCAGAGCUGUUUCACCAGAAAACUCACUGGAACUUACUAUCUUGAGAAGAUCUCACCCUCUAUUAGAUCUGUUUGAAAGAGCUCACUGGGUUAAAAUGGUGAAAGAGGGGGAAUGAUGAACAGAUGCAGCUCUUGCUUAAUUUUUAAUCGCCUUAAGAAACCAUACUAAAACCAUGUUAAAAAAAAAAAAGAGUUGUUUCCAGGAAAAGUUUUCCAAAGUCUCAAGUCAAUUUCCUUUCCAGCACCAUGAAAGCCGCUCUUUGAUAAAUAUUGUAAUUAAAAAACCUAACAGUC